rnacentral:misc_RNA from 1 species
UCUCCGAUAGAAUCGGAGCUGUUCCCCGUGAGAAUAUAACACAGGGUAAGGGUUGCGCUCGUUUGCCGACUGAACGGAACAUCUCACGACACGAGCUGACGACGACCGUGCAUCACCUGUCAUCCGGCUCCCGAAGGCACCCCCGCAUUUCUGCAGGGUUCCGGAGAUGUCAAGUCCUGGUAAGGUUCCUCGUUUAUCGUCGAAUUAAACCACAUGCUCCACCGCUUGUGCGAGCCCCCGUCAAUUCCUUUGAGUUUUAGCCUUGCGGCCGUACUUCCCAGGCGGUUCACUUACCGCGUUAGCUGCGCUACAGAAAGGGUCGAUACUCCCCAUAGCUAGUGAACAUCGUUUACAGCGUGGACUAC